GUGGUUAAGAAACAAAGGGCGCACGGUGAAUGCCUUGGCACUAGGAGCCGAUGAAGGACGUGACGAACGACGAAACGCUUUGGGGAGCUGUAAGUAAGCUAUGAUCCAGAGAUAUCCGAAUGGGGGAACCCACUGCUAAAUGCAGUACGCGUAAGCGAGGAAGACGCAGAGAACUGAAACAUCUAAGUACCUGCAGGAAGAGAAAGAAAAAUCGAUUCCCUAAGUAGCGGCGAGCGAAAAGGGAAGAGCCCAAACCAUUGUGCAUGCACAAUGGGGUUGUAGGACUCCGACAUAAGACUAAAGUGAGUAGUAGAAUCUGAUGGGAAGCAGAGCGAGACAAGGUGAGAGCCCUGUAUACGAAACUGACUGAAGCUUUAGGAGUAUCCUGAGUACGGCGGGACACGAGGAAUCCCGUUGGAAUCCGCCAGGACCAUCUGGCAAGGCUAAAUACUCCCUAGUGACCGAUAG
rnacentral:rRNA from 1 species